rnacentral:rRNA from 1 species
CUUUGCAAGCAAAGUCAGGAAUCAGCGGCCCACCUUCUGUUCCAAUGUCGUUUUACCCUUCGUGUGUGGAAUGAUAUCCUCCAGUGGCUUGUCAUGCAUCACAUCAAUAUCGCUGCUUGGAUGAUGAGGGGCUCGAUGAAGGAAUGGUGGACCGGAAACGUUCAUAUUCAUAGCGAAUCCCCCAAGGUGCUUGCUUCGCUAAUGAUGCUCAUCUCCUGGGAGAUUUGGUCGGAGCGCAAUUCUAGAAUCUUCCGCAACACGGCCUCUCCUUCGAUGGUCCUUAUUAACAAGAUCAAAGAGGAGUUAUCUCUUUGGGCUUUGGCGAGCGCCAAGCAUUUGAGUAUUGUAAUGGCGCGAGAGUAG